UGACCUUCAUUUACAAACCAAUCAUUGCUGAAGUAUCUGGAGCAAAAAUUCAUAAGAAAUUUUAAGUCACAAUCUUUUCUGGAGAAAUGCAAUCUCAGGCCAUGGCAGCUGUACCUCUGCCAUCUCUGGACUCUGGUGCAUAAGCAGAGAGGCCUGGCUGGAACAGCUUCAUGUGCUGCGGCAGCUGGAGAAGAAUGCCAUGGACAUUUGGCAGACCCUUGAAACCUCUGGACACUCGCUCACCAUCCCGUCCAGGAACACUACCUUUUUUAGAGCUGUGAUGCUUUGCAAAUGAGUAAGACACACAAAGGCCCUAUAGACCUCUUGUCUCCAUCCCUCCCAUCCUACUUGCAGCUCUCUCUUGACAUGUUGCAGCUCCUAAAGCAACAUCAUCUAGGUGCCCUCAGUGU